CGGGCAUGCGGGCGCGAGCCAGGGCGGCGCGCCGCCGCGAGCCGGCGCGGAUGCGGCCCAUCUUUGGAAAAAAAAAGAAGAAAAAACAAAGAGGAAACAGAAGUCAAUGUGCCCAUACCUUAGCCCAUGCUUCUGCUCCCAUGCUGACCCCACACCAACGGGUUUGGAUCCGGCCAUACUGUCGUACAUCCUCCCCAUCCCCCCCAAUCCUUUUCCUGUGCUCGCUCUCACCCUUUUCCCCUCUUUAGUCAUUUUCUCCGUCCUCUUUGCCAUUCACCUGAGCCAACUUCCCCCGUAAUCCCCUCCUCUCCGUCCUCGGCGUCUUCCUCGCUACCCCUCUUCUCGCCUUAUUUGCCACAUGGCACCACCUCCGCCACCGACCUCCUUUGGUAGCACCUUUGUGCAGGUAGACUAAUGAAGCGUCGUUGUCGUUGACUGCCCCCUCAGCUAUGCCUUUCUACGUGCUCGACAAGAAUGGCAUCGUCGCUAUCACCGACGGGGCGCUCCAAAAUGCCGCUCGGCUCCUCAACAUGGACAGCAUCGGAAUGGCUAUGCCUCAAAGAAAACCAUGGAGUUCUUCUUUCCUUGGUUUUUUUUUCUCAUUUCUUUUCUAUGGAAGGGAACAAAAAAAAAUUGUUAUUGUGCUUCUAACAUCAAUUUCUUUACUGCGGCUCCAGAAUAUAUUGUCAGAACCCGUGGUUAUGCGGCUCCAGAAUAUAUUGCUACAGGUUAUAUUUCGACUCAUCCUCAAAUUAUGCAAAAGCAGAUAAAUAUGAAUGUUUACGCUCGCUGUUAUAUAUUUAGAAAGUAUACAAGUUGAGGUGGUAACAUAUUACAUCAGAAAUAAACAGGACCCGAUUUCGAUGAACAGGGUCGGUUAGAAAGUAUACAUGUUGAGAUGGUAACAGAUUACAUCAGAAAUGAACAAAGCCUGAUUUCGAUGAACAGGGUCGGUUAGAAAGUAUAGAAAGUAUACAAGUUGAGGUGGUAACAUAUUACAUCAUAAAUGAACACGGCCCGAUUCCGAUGAACAGGGUCGGUUAGUGAUAACUUAUUUCUAACAAUGUUUACAUUUUUCCGCGAGGCCACUUAUCCGUGAAGAGCGACAUAUACAGCUUCGGUGUAGUGCUAUUAGAACUGUUAUCCGGAAGGCGAGCACUGGAUGAAGAUCGAUGAUCCCUAAGCGGGUACGGCAGAGCUCUCCGCAAUCGGCGCCGCUGCGCUCUCCGCAUUGUUCCUGCACGCGGUCCACGGGAGCGGGCGUAUCUUAGUGGAUCGGCAGAGGGAGAUGGUAGUUUGAAUGUUAACUGUCAUAAGGGAGCUUGACUGCAUGAAGCGACAUGGAAACUUCUUUAGAAGGCCAUCUUCAAAGGCUUCUUCAGCACUACAAUGGAUUGAAGAAUGUAUGAAAAAUACAAGUUGGUGGAUUGAAGAAUGUAUGAAAAACUUCUUUAGAAGGCCAUCUUCAAAGGCUUCUUCAGCACUACAAUGGAUUGAAGAAUGUAUGAAAAAUACAAGUUGGUGGCUCUAUGUCCAAAGCUCUCUAGAGACUAAACCAGUGGCACCAACUCCUCCUAUAACACCAACUUUGCAAUUCAUUGAUGGAAAUAAUGAACUCGGGGCUAAGAUCUUUAGCUCCAUGUCUUUCUCAAGAUAUGGAAAUUUCAUGCAUAUUGUUUCUCCAACAGCUAAGGAUCACAUUCUAGAUUGUGCUCUCCUGUUCAAGGAAAUUAGGAAAGAUGGACAACUUAUCAUUCUUUCUAGCAGCACGACUCUCAAAAUCAAAGCCAUGGCAGAGGGGCAACGCCCGCUUCCGCAUCUCCUCUCAAAUGCCAUCCUCUUUCACUGCCUCAUCCGACGUCCAAUUUGAGUCCUUCAUCAUCAGCAUCAUAAGAUCCCUCCCUACAUCACUCUCCCUUUGAUCUAUUCUUUUUGAUUGGAUCCUUCUUAUCUGUGAUUCAUUUUAAUCGUGAUGUUGGGGUUGUUUACCAUGCACGCAAACUGUUCGAUGUAUUGUCGCUUGCAAUUUUAAAAUCUUUCAGGAGCAAAAAGUUGAAGAAGCACACAAGCUCUCUAUUAUAAUAGGCGAUCUUGAGUAGCAACUGAGUAAAGAGCAAGAUUGCUUUGAAAUUGAAGAAGUUUAAUUAUUAAAGUCAAAGGCAUAAAGCACAACAGAAGCUAAAAAGGUCACAAGCCCGUCUUCCAAAGUUAGCUGAAAUGUUUUAUUCUGAAGCCAUAAAACCUGCAAAUGAAGAAUAUUCGAGUGCAAAUGUUCAUUAUGACGGUGGAUCAAAUGGUGAUUAUCAAAUAAAACCAAACAAUGACCAGUUGCGGAAUCUUUUUUUUUUUUAGCAAGAAAAGAUCUUUGGCCUUUUCUAUCACAAAUGAAGAGGAAAAAGCAGGUACACACAGAGGCGAGCCAAGCGAGGACCGCGGCAAGGGCAUAGCGCCCUAAGUGAGCCUAGUUAGUAGCUUUUCCUUUAUGCAUUAGAGUACCCUCGUGUACUAGAGAAUGUUUUGGAUAGUUAUGAGAGGGCUACUUAUAUUUUGAAGAAACAUGUACUUACAUUUUGGAAGAUGAAAAUGUAAUAUAUCAAAGAUGUAAAAAUGGAAUGUGAAGUAAUAGCUAGAUGUAUCUCUCUU